CAGUAGCCGCGGGAAUACGUAGGGUGCAAGCGUUAAUCGGAAUUACUGGGCGUAAAGCGUGCGUAGGUGGUGGUUUAAGUCCGUUGUGAAAGCCCUGGGCUCAACCUGGGAAUUGCAGUGGAUACUGGGUCACUAGAGUGUGGUAGAGGAUAGUGGAAUUUCCGGUGUAGCAGUGAAAUGCGUAGAGAUCGGAAGGAACAUCUGUGGCGAAGGCGACUAUCUGGGCCAACACUGACACUGAGGCACGAAAGCGUGGGGAGCAAACAGGAUUAGAUACCCCGGUAGUCCCUGUCUCUUAUAC
rnacentral:rRNA from 1 species